rnacentral:tRNA from 1 species
GGGCCGUUAGCUCAGUUGGCAGAGCAGUAGACUUUUAAUCUGCGGGCCGCUGGUUCGAAUCCAGCACGGCUCACCA